UUUACUUAUUAUUUAUUAUAUAUAAUUAGUCACAUAUGUAUUUUAAUAGAAAUAACUUAAUUUUUAGUAUUAUUUUAUUGAAUAAAUAUUUAUAUUAUGAUAGUUUAUUUUACUGUGAAGGUUUAUUUUAAUUAUGGUUAAAGUAGAAUUUUAUUUUUGUACCUUUUGUAUCAGGGUUUAUUAAGAUAUAAUAUUUACAUAUAUGUUUCCCGAAAUUAAAAGAGAUAUUAUUAAUAAGUUGAUAUAUAAUGUUUUAUAAUUAUUGUUAAAUUAAUAAUAGAAGAGAUAUUCUAUUCAUUUUUAAAUAUCUGGUUUCCUAAGAAUUGAAUUUAAUUCAGGUUUAAGCAGGAUUAACUUAUAAAAAAAUUUUAUUUUUUAAAGUUUAUUUAAACUAAUAUUAAAGGGGAUAAGCUCUUUAUUAUUUUUAUGAUUUUAUGUAAUUUAUGUUGAUAAGUUUUAGUAGGAUUAGUAAUUUCCGUCAUUUUAAUUUUUAAUAAUUAAUCUUAUCAUGUGUUUUAUUUUAAUUAAAUCUAGUUUUUUAUUGGGAAUGUUAAUUUAUUUUUUGAUUUAAAGUUAUUUUGAUAGAAUUAGUAUAUUUAGUGAAUUAAUAUAUAGUAACUCGGCAAUUUUUAAUCUUCACCUGUUUAUCAAAAACAUGUCUUGGCGAGUUUUAAUGUUAAGUCUGGCCUGCUCAAUGAUUACAAUUAAUUAAAUAGCCGCAGUAUUUUGACUGUGCGAAGGUAGCAUAAUCAUUUGUCUUUUAAUUGAAGGCUUGUAUGAAUGGUUUGAUGAAAGAUUGACUUUCUUUAUAUUAAAUAUUGAAUUUAAUUUUUAAGUUAAAAAGCUUAAAUUUUUAAGUGGGACGAGAAGACCCUAUAGAAUUUUAUUUCUAUAUAUUGUAUUAUUUAUUUGGUGGAGUUGUUAAAUUCUACAAUAAUAGAAAUUUUGUUGGGGUGACAGGAGGAUUUAAUAAACUCCUUUUAUUUAUUAUUAAUAUUGAUUGAUAUAUUUAAGAUCCUUUAUUUUGGAUAUAAAGAUUAAAUUACCUUAGGGAUAACAGCGUAAUUUCAUUGGAGAGUUCUUAUCGAUAGUGAAGAUUGCGACCUCGAUGUUGGAUUAAAAUAAGAAUUAAGUGCAGAAGCUUAAUUUUCUAGGUCUGUUCGACCUUUAAAGUUUUACAUGAUCUGAGUUCAGACCGGCGUAAGCCAGGUCGGUUUCUAUCUUUUUAGUUAUAUAUGCUUUUUAGUACGAAAGGACCAAGAGCAUUAAUUAUUUUAUUAAAUUUAUAUGUAUAACCUUAAU
rnacentral:rRNA from 1 species